GCACCAGACUCCUACGGGAGGCAGCAGUGGGGAAUAUUGGGCAAUGGAGGCAACUCUUACCCAGCAAUGCCGCGUGAAUGAAGAAGGUCUUCGGAUUGUAAAGUUCUUUAAUUGGGGACGAAAAAAAUGACGGUACCAAAGGAAUAAGCCACGGCUAACUACGUGCCAGCAGCCGCGGUAAUACGUAGGUGGCAAGCGUUAUCCGGAUUUACUGGGUGUAAAGGGCGUGUAGGCGGGUCUGCAAGUCAGAUGUGAAAUUCCAGGGCUCAACCCUGGAACUGCAUUUGAAACUGUAGAUCUUGAGUGAUGGAGAGGCAGGCGGAAUUCCGUGUGUAGCGGUGAAAUGCGUAGAUAUACGGAGGAACACCAGUGGCGAAGGCGGCCUGCUAGACAUUAACUGAC
rnacentral:rRNA from 1 species